rnacentral:rRNA from 1 species
GCCAGCCCGCUCAGAACUUAACUGAAUUGACGGGGCCGCACAAGCGGAGGAGCAUGUGGUUUAAUUCGAUGAUACGCGAGGAACUUACCUGGGCUCGAACGUAAGAUGACUGUAGGUGAAAGCUUACAUCUCUUCGGAGCAUUUUACGAGGUGCUGCAUGGUUGUCGUCAGCUCGUGCCGUGAGGUGUCGGGUUAAGUCCCAUAACGAGCGCAACCCCUACCUUUAGUUGCCAUCAGGUUAAGCUGGGGACUCUAAAGGAACUGCCUACGCAAGUAGUGAGGAAGGCGGGGAUGACGUCAAAUCAGCACGGCCCUUACGUCCAGGGCUACACACGUGCUACAAUGGCCGAUACAGAGGGCAGCUACCUGGUGACAGGAUGCAAAUCUCCAAAGUCGGUCUCAGUUCGGAUCGGAGUCUGCAACCCGACUCCGUGAAGUUGGAUUCGCUAGUAAUCGCGCAUCAGCCAUGGCGCGGUGAAUACGUUCCCGGGCCUU